GAAUCCAUGGUGUAGCAAUACACCGGAAGAUUUAGUGGCGAACGGGUGAGGAUCACGUGAGAAACGUGCCCCAGACUCUGGGAUAACAAUUGGAAACGAUUGCUAAUACCGGAUGACGUCGGAGAAUCGCAUGAUUCACUGACGAAAGAUAUUUCGGUUUGGGAGCGUCUCGCGGCCUAUCAGCUUGUUGGUGGGGUAAUGGCCUACCAAGGCAACGACGGGUAGCUGGUCUGAGAGGAUGAUCAGCCACACUGGGACUGAGACACGGCCCAGACUCCUACGGGAGGCAGCAGUGGGGAAUCUUGCGCAAUGGGCGAAAGCCUGACGCAGCAACGCCGCGUGCGGGAUGAAGGCCUUCGGGCUGUAAACCGCUUUCAGCAGGAACGAAAAUGACGGUACCUGCAGAAGAAGGAGCGGCCAACUACGUGCCAGCAGCCGCGGUGACACGUAGGCUCCAAGCGUUGUCCGGAUUUAUUGGGCGUAAAGAGCUCGUAGGCGGUUGAGUAAGUCGGGUGUGAAAACUCUGGGCUUAACCCGGAGACGCCAUCCGAUACUGCUCUGACUAGAGUUCAGGAGGGGAGUGGGGAAUUCCUAGUGUAGCGGUGAAAUGCGCAGAUAUUAGGAGGAACACCGGUGGCGAAGGCGCCACUCUGGACUGAAACUGACGCUGAGGAGCGAAAGCAUGGGUAGCAACAGGAUUAGAUACCCUGGUAGUCCAUGCCGUAACGGUGGGCACUAGGUGUGGGUUCCAACUAACGGGAUCCGCGCCGUCGCUAACGCAUUAAGUGCCCCGCCUGGGGAGUACGGUCGCAAGACUAAAACUCAAGGGAAUUGAUCGGGGGCC
rnacentral:rRNA from 1 species